AGGGCACCAAUUAAGUGAAGACUCUCCACAAAGACACUUUAGGAUUAGUCAAAUUUUAAUUUAGUAGAUUAGACUUUUUUUUAAACUAAGUUUUGUAUUUUGGGCUAAUUUUGGUAGAUUAGACAAAAUCCCAAUUGUAAAAAUGGUGACAUGGCCCUAGGGUUUUAAAAUGGGUGGACCCCACCAUGAGCAUGGAACUUUUCGGACCUAGGGAUCCUAAGAAGAGGCAGCCCUC
rnacentral:lncRNA from 1 species